UAUUUUCGGUCUACAACACUUAACUGAGAAAUUUGAAUUGUGUGUUGCCUUUCGAUCGGAUUUCAAUUAUCGAAAAAAAAGUUAUAUUUGUUGUUUUUUUUUUUGUUACAUGUGGACGCCCGAAAAAGAACAAGUUUCAAUCACUUCCUGAAUGUACAUGUGAGUAUAUCGAGAAUUAUUUCAAAUUUUCAUAGUUAAAAUCCGAUUGAUUUCGAGAAUAAAAUUUUUUAAUUUCUCAAUAUAUUUACUAUAGAAUUGUGUGGACUAGCGAUAUAUUACUAUAUUAUAUCACCUUGGGAUUUAAAAAUACUAUAGAGGAGAUUUCUGAAAAGCCGCCGAACAUCUAAGUAAGUACCUAGUCUUCAAAACUGUGGAUGUUCAAUAUAAUAAGAGAACAAAAAGGUGUACAAUACCUUUCUCACUAGGUAUUCAGAUUCAUUUUAAUUAGGUGCGGAAAAUGCUUGAUCAAUUCUUGCAGCUUAGAAUGAACUCACUGAUUUUUUCCACAAAAAAAAAUGUAUAGUUUUUGUUUUAUAUCACUUUGAAAAUUGAAGUCGUAUCUCAAUUAUUUCAAUGAUGAAAAUUUCAACAUUUUUUCCUUAUCAUGCUAUUACAAUUUCUUCCAAAAUACUCCUUGAAUUCAAUGAUCAUUUAUUGUUUUCUUAUUUGAUAAUAUUUCCAUUUAUUGAUAUUCUGUAUUUUACAUUGAAAUACACGAGAAUGUAUUUUUUUUAGAAAAACUCGUAUUAGAUUGUAGCAAUCUUUUCAAUGACGAUUGAAAAACUUUUCAAUUCUCAAAGUGAUAUAAAAGAAAAACUAAACAUUUUUUUGUUGAGAAAAAAUUGGUGAAUCUAUUCUAAAUUACCAUACGAAGAUUUCUUCCAAAAGAAACAUCCUCGAUUCAACUCUGACACCUUUAAAGAUUUUUUCAGGCAUUCUUUUCCUUGUUUUAGAUAUUUAUUUAUUUUUUUUUCUUGAAACAUCUUCAUCGUCUGAAACUUCGGAUUAAAAAUUGACGGCCAACAAUACCUGGGAGAUCCAAGUGUUAGGUCUUUCUUGACGAGGACUUGCUCUCGAUCUACCACAGCAACAGAAGAAGUCUACCCGGAUUGGUGUAGGAUUGCUGUCGUGAAAAUAGUUGAAAAUCUUUAUUUGAGACAUCUGAAGGAGUUGACAUGUCCACCAAAACCUGCUUGUCUUUAACCACUUCUCCAGGUGACACUAUACCAUCAGCAUCUAAUACAUCAUGCUGCAAAGCUGAUCUAUUGGUUGUGGUAUAGAUCAAUGGUCCUUGCAUAAUGCAUUUGUUUGGUUGGGAUAUCUUUUAAGGGUGCAUUUAGUGGUCUUAUAGAAGAGACUCCAAGCUCUAGAGAAUCUUCUAUGUUAUAACUACUGUAGCACAUUACUGCAUGGAUACAUUGAUGUAUAACUUAGUAUAUACACAAAAACUUUUGGUAAAAACAAAGAGUAUAUAACUAACAAAUUAUGAUGUGUUACCAGCAUCAUAAUUUGUUAGUUCUAUACUCUAUAGUUUUCACUAUAUGAUGCUGGUAACACAUCAUAAUUUGUUAGUUAUAUACUCUUUGUUUUUACCAAAAGUCUUUGUGUAUAUACUAAGUUAUACAUCAAUGUAUCCAUGCAGUAAUGUGCUACAAUAGUUAUAACAUAGAAGAUUCUCUAGUGCUUAGCGUCUCUUCUAUAAGACCACUAAAUGCACCCUUAGAAGAUAUCCCAACCAAACAAAUGCAUUAUGCAAGGACCAUUGAUGUAUACCACAACGAAUAGAUCAGCUUUGCAGCAUGAUAUAUUAGAUGGUGAUGGUAUAGUGGCACCUGGAGAAGUGGUUGCAGACAGCAGGCUAUGCAUCAAUGUAUCCAUUCUCAUCUGUUGGUUGUAACCUUUAGCACCAAUAGAUUGUUGUCCAUGACACAUCGAUAUGUGUCAUAGCUUUUUUGUUUAUGGCACAUUGAUAUGUGUCAUGGGAAACAAGCUAUUGGUAAUAUAGGUUAUAACCAUUCUCAUCUGUUGGUUGUAACCUAUAGCAUCCAUAACUUGCUUUCCUAUGGCACAUUGGCAAGUAUUUCUUUUUCUCUGUUUGUCAGUAGUCUUUCAAUUAAUAUACUGCCAAUCAGAGCUCCAGAAAAUAUUUAUCAAAGAAUCACUUAAUCUUUGUUGAAAGACUAAUGGUCAGCCUCCAGGACUACAUAAGAAUCGAAGAGAUCAGCAGGGGUACAAAGGUGGAAGAUGUAUUUGUUUACAGACUUUUAAGAAUAUUUCUUUAUAAACCUAAAAUCUUAGGACAUUUAUUAUUAUUAUUUUUUUUAUUACAAAAUUGAUUUUCUCUUCUGUGUGCACUGAGGUAUUUUAUAUAUUUUUUUUUGUUUGUCAUUAUUAUUCUAUGAAAAUUUUCUAUAUUCCAAGGCAUUGAUGGAUACUUAUAUGG